CAGUCGCCACGGGAAUACGAAGGGUGCAAGCGUUACUCGGAAUUACUGGGCGUAAAGCGUGCGUAGGUGGUGGUUUAAGUCCGUUGUGAAAGCCCUGGGCUCAACCUGGGAAUUGCAGUGGAUACUGGAUCACUAGAGUGUGGUAGAGGAUAGUGGAAUUUCCGGUGUAGCAGUGAAAUGCGUAGAGAUCGGAAGGAACAUCUGUGGCGAAGGCGACUAUCUGGGCCAACACUGACACUGAGGCACGAAAGCGUGGGGAGCAAACAGGAUUAGAUACCCGGGUAGUCCCUGUCUCUUAUAC
rnacentral:rRNA from 1 species